GAUGAACGCUGGCGGCGUGCUUAACACAUGCAAGUCGAACGAGAAGUGAAGACGGAAACCUUCGGGCGGAAGGCUUUAUUUCGAGUGGCGGACGGGUGAGUAACGCGUGGGUAACCUGCCUCAUACAGGGGGAUAACAGUUGGAAACGACUGUUAAUACCGCAUAAGACCACAGCACCGCAUGGUGCGGUGGUAAAAACUCCGGUGGUAUGAGAUGGACCCGCGUUCGAUUAGCCAGUUGGCGGGGUAACGGCCCACCAAAGCGACGAUCGAUAGCCGAUCUGAGAGGAUGACCGGCCACAUUGGGACUGAGACACGGCCCAAACUCCUACGGGAGGCAGCAGUGGGGAAUAUUGCACAAUGGGGGAAACCCUGAUGCAGCGACGCCGCGUGAGUGAAGAAGUAUUUCGGUAUGUAAAGCUCUAUCAGCAGGGAAGAAAAUGACGGUACCUGAGUAAGAAGCCCCGGCUAACUACGUG
rnacentral:rRNA from 1 species